rnacentral:rRNA from 1 species
UACGAAGGGGACUAGCGUUGUUCGGAAUUACUGGGCGUAAAGCGCACGUAGGCGGCUCUUUAAGUCGGAGGUGAAAUCCUGGAGCUCAACUCCAGAACUGCCUUCGAUACUGAAGAGCUCGAGUCCGGGAGAGGUGAGUGGAACUGCGAGUGUAGAGGUGAAAUUCGUAGAUAUUCGCAAGAACACCAGUGGCGAAGGCGGCUCACUGGCCCGGUACUGACGCUGAGGUGCGAAAGCGUGGGGAGCAAACAGG